UUGUUGCCAAAGACCGUUGAAGUGGUUUAUCUUACUCAACAUAGGGAGCCAUUUUGAACGUACUUGAUGAAUUGUUCGAGUACUGUAGGAUCGUUUGCUGACCCAACGAGUCACUAAUCCAGAGGCGGAAUUCAUUGAAUUAGUCUUCGUAAAGCUUGAUUUCACUCUUUAAUGUCUCCUGUAUUGAUUAACUAUCAAAUUACAAGCUUGUGGAGACAAUCGGACAGGGCUUCGCCUUUACACCUUGGAAAACACCUACACAUCACUGCUUGAACCGCUCAUCUGGACUCCUAUAUAUAGGAAACAUAGGCCGCUCAUAUGGACAAGUCCAUAUGAGCGAUCCAACCAAGUGACAAAUGAGCGAUCCAUAAUGAUUGCCACAUAAGCGACCCACCUAUUCUACCCUAUAAGCGGCCCUCAACAUUACAAGAUUUCUCGUUUACCGUUCACUAUACAAUCAGCCCUAUCCUAAGACUCGAACUAAGAUGUAGUCGACAGACAACUGCACCAACAGACUCC
rnacentral:lncRNA from 1 species